UUUCCGUAGGUGAACCUGCGGAAGGAUCAUUACAGAGUUCAUGCCCUCUCGGGUAGAUCCCCCACCCUUGAAUAUUUAUACCUUAGUUGCUUUGGCAGGCCGUGGAAACACCAUGGGCUCCGGCUUAUGCGUGCCUGCCAGAGGAAACAAACUCUGUUUUUAGUGAUGUCUGAGUACUAUAUAAUAGUUAAAACUUUCAACAACGGAUCUCUUGGUUCUG
rnacentral:misc_RNA from 1 species